UAGAACUGGUAAUCCAAUAGGUGGAAUGAUAGGGUAACGCCUUGAAACGCCUUCCUAAACACUGCGAAUGGCACAAUAGCAAUUAAGUGCAAAUUGUGUUAUGAAGCUCGCUAAAGUCGUCUGUAUGCACUUGCUAAGGUCAGAAAUGAUACAGCAAAACCAAGCCAGAGGUGGCUGGGAGUGUUAGGGCGGGGUCUACAAA
rnacentral:ncRNA from 1 species